rnacentral:rRNA from 1 species
GAUGAACGCUGGCGGCGUGCCUAAUACAUGCAAGUUGAGCGCUCAAGGGUGGUACUUGUACCGCCUGGAUUAGCAGCGGACGGGUGAGUAACGCGUGGGUAAUCUGCCUUUGAGCGGGGGACAACAUCUGGAAACGAAUGCUAAUACCGCAUAAAAACUUUAAACACAAGGUUCAAGAUUGAAAGAUGCAAUUGCAUCACUCAAAGAUGAUCCCGCCGUGGCUUAGCUAGGUGGUGAGGGAAAGGCCCACCAAGGCGAUGAUACAUAAGCGGACCGGGGGGGGGAUCCGCCACAAUGGGACUGGGACACGGCCCAAGACCCUUAGGGGAGGAGCAGGAGGGAAUUCUUGGGAAAGGACCGAAGGCUGAACGGACAACGCCGCGUGGGGGGAGGAAGGUUUCCGAACGUAAAAAUCUGUUGAUAGGGAAGAAAGAUAGUGGGAGUGAAAAGCGCAUCAAGUGACGGUAACUACCCAGAAAGGCACGGCUAACUACGUG